CCUACGGGAGGCAGCAGUGGGGAAUAUUGGACAAUGGGGGCAACCCUGAUCCAGCCAUGCCGCGUGUGUGAAGAAGGCCCUCGGGUUGUAAAGCACUUUCAGUGAGGAAGAACGCCUGGUGGUUAAUACCCAUCAGGAAAGACAUCACUCACAGAAGAAGCACCGGCUAACUCCGUGCCAGGAGCCGCGGUAAUACGGAGGGUGCGAGCGUUAAUCGGAAUUACUGGGCGUAAAGCGCGCGUAGGUGGCUUGAUAAGCCGGUUGUGAAAGCCCCGGGCUCAACCUGGGAACGGCAUCCGGAACUGUCAAGCUAGAGUGCAGGAGAGGAAGGUAGAAUUCCCGGUGUAGCGGUGAAAUGCGUAGAGAUCGGGAGGAAUACCAGUGGCGAAGGCGGCCUUCUGGACUGACACUGACACUGAGGUGCGAAAGCGUGGGUAGCAAACAGGAUUAGAUACCCCGGUAGUC
rnacentral:rRNA from 1 species